rnacentral:rRNA from 1 species
GAUGUGCCCAGAUGGGAUUAGCUAGUAGGUGGGGUAAUGGCUCACCUAGGCGACGAUCCCUAGCUGGUCUGAGAGGAUGACCAGCCACACUGGAACUGAGACACGGUCCAGACUCCUACGGGAGGCAGCAGUGGGGAAUAUUGCACAAUGGGCGCAAGCCUGAUGCAGCCAUGCCGCGUGUAUGAAGAAGGCCUUCGGGUUGUAAAGUACUUUCAGCGGGGAGGAAGGUGUUGAGGUUAAUAACCUCAGCAAUUGACGUUACCCGCAGAAGAAGCACCGGCUAACUCCGUGCCAGCAGCCGCGGUAAUACGGAGGGUGCAAGCGUUAAUCGGAAUUACUGGGCGUAAAGCGCACGCAGGCGGUCUGUCAAGUCGGAUGUGAAAUCCCCGGGCUCAACCUGGGAACUGCAUUCGAAACUGGCAGGCUAGAGUCUUGUAGAGGGGGGUAGAAUUCCAGGUGUAGCGGUGAAAUGCGUAGAGAUCUGGAGGAAUACCGGUGGCGAAGGCGGCCCCCUGGACAAAGACUGACGCUCAGGUGCGAAAGCGUGGGGAGCAAA